CCCUUAGAUGUCCUGGGCCGCACGCGCGCUACACUGAUGCAUGCAACGAGUUUAUAACCUUGGCCUGAAAGGUCUGGGUAAUCUUUUGAACGUGCAUCGUGAUAGGGAUAGAUUAUUGCAAUUGUUAAUCUUGAACGAGGAAUUCCUAGUAAGCGCGAGUCAUCAGCUCGCAUUGAUUACGUCCCUGCCCUUUGUACACACCGCCCGUCGCACCUACCGAUUGAAUGGUUCGGUGAAGAUCUCGGACUUCGAUAUUUAUUCUUUAUUGAGUUUAUAUUGUGGGAAGUUAUCUAAACCUCAUCAUUUAGAGGAAGGUGAAGUCGUAACA
rnacentral:rRNA from 1 species